rnacentral:lncRNA from 1 species
CUUCUAUGUGAGAAAUCGCUUUAUUGCUAUUUCCAACCUGGCCCUUAUGCAAAUGUUCGUUAUCGGUCCUUCAUAAUAAGUUAUACUAACCUUAUCCGUUAUCCGGGAUUCUCGAGUCAACUAAAUUUCGGACUGAUGGAAAAAUUUUUUGUCAUACUGGACAUAGAUCGACCUAGAAAGAUUCAGAACGCAUAAUGAUGAAGAUAGUUUUGGCUCAGGAGAAUUUUAGAACACAUUUUCAAAUUUGAGAUGACUUAUGCAGAUGUUCGUUAUCCGUCCUUCAUAAUAAAUUAUACUAAGCUUGUCCGCUAUCCGGGAUCCUCUAGUCAACUAAAUUUCGAGCUGAUGGAAAAAAUGUUUUCGUUAUACUGGAUAUAGAUCGACCU